CGUGGUGAAAGAAGAUUCUAAACUGACUACUUCAGGGAAGCCGAAAAAUGCGAAAUUCCUCGGCCAGACGACGGGCCGUAGCGAGUAAGAAAAAGACGAACUGAAAGGCUGCCUAUUAACUGAUAGUCAAGAGGAAGACUAAAAGAUUGCCACUUACGAACGACGAUGUUUGCGACUUGUUUGCGCUUGAUCGCUUGUUUCUUCAGCUUUUUCGAGUCGAAGAGUUGAAAUGCUAAAUGAUAUCUUCUAAUAUAUUACACACGUGGUUAGUUAGGCAUAUCGCGACUAAACAAGCACCUACGAAAACUCAGAGGAUAAUAACAAGGGACGUAACGCAUCGAAAGCUGUCCGGAGAAUAUUUGCAUUUAACAGGCACGUGCCUCUGACCUGCCUCGCCUUUCCUUUGUUCACCCUAACUCUCCACGUUAUUUAAUAUCGAUCAUUACUAACAUUUCGUACGAACGUGACAACCAUGGGAAUGAAUCGAGAAUCGUGACGUAUUCAACGUGAGAAUUAUAGUCAGCGAUAUCCAUUCUUUUAUUGAAAACUUGUAGCCUGUCCAUAACGUCGCUUGAUUAUUCCGUCGUUGUUAGCGAAUUUUUUUCACAUACAAUUCCACGUUCAUUAGCGACGUUACG
rnacentral:misc_RNA from 1 species